rnacentral:rRNA from 1 species
AGCGAACGCUGGCGGCAGGCUUAACACAUGCAAGUCGAGCGGGCCCUUCGGGGUCAGCGGCAGACGGGUGAGUAACACGUGGGAACGUACCCUUUGGUUCGGAAUAACGCUGGGAAACUAGCGCUAAUACCGGAUACGCCCUUUUGGGGAAAGGCUUGCUGCCGAAGGAUCGGCCCGCGUCUGAUUAGCUAGUUGGUGGGGUAAUGGCCUACCAAGGCGACGAUCAGUAGCUGGUCUGAGAGGAUGAUCAGCCACACUGGGACUGAGACACGGCCCAGACUCCCACGGGAGGGAGGAGGGGGGGAAAAUGGAACAAGGGGGGCAGCCUGAUCCAGCCAUGCCGCGUGAGUGAUGAAGGCCUUAGGGUUGUAAAGCUCUUUUGUCCGGGACGAUAAUGACGGUACCGGAAGAAUAAGCCCCGGCUAACUUCGUG